UCUAUUUUCUGGUUUUUCUCUCAAGCUUAUCUUGAAACUUUCACCAUUGUCCAAACUCAUCGACUAGUCGGCUGAGAAAACAAGCAUUGUAUAUCAGACCAAUCAAGCCCUUGAGCCUGAAGCUGGAAUGACAGUGGUUCACCUAGUAUGCCAACAGAAUGGAUAUUGACCAACUGUACCCGUCCACUUCAGAGUUCCGAGAAGAAUGCCAUGCAUUCAGAUGUAUUCUUUCAGAGACCGAGAGAUUCUGCAGGCAUAUUGUUUUGUGACUGCCUUAUGGUGCAGCUUGGGGAGGUUUUAGGGGCUGGUUUUGUUUUGGAUUGCUCACUUUGUUCCAAAAAGCUUUCUGAUCAGCAAAGUACUGAGAUAGAGCUGGCAACAUCGGCUCAUUCAGUGAAUUAAGUUUGAAAAAGGGCGUGAACGUCCUCAGCUGGAAAUACACAUUCCUUCUGCACCCUGGCAGUUAGCUCCUUUCAGUUCAACUUAUAAGCAAAGCAUACUUUCAGUUUAAGAAGUGAAUUCAAUCAAAGGGCCACGGCAUCGUCGGAGCUCAGGUAGCUCGGAUGUGGCUUGGCUUUUGCACAAAAGCACUCUAAGGACAAAACAAUGACCUUUGCGCUUUAUGGAGACGGUGUUGCAAAUCAAGGACACUGUUUGAGGCACUUAAUAUCUCUGCGCUUUGGGAUUUGCCUGCGAUUCUGGUCUGUGAGAAUAAUCACUGUAAUUAAGCAAUUAGCUUGGUCUUUUCUUUCAUGAAGGGUAAGCAUUUGAGAGGAAGAUUUGAAUAAGGAGAUGAAGAACUCGGUGUCGGAUCUCAAUUUUACAUUUAGAGUGAAGAAGAAGAUGAUAAGGAGAAGCGCAACAAAAGCAUAGAAGAUGGGAAUGAUUCUGAUUCUUCGGGCUCAGAAGCCGAGCACCGCAGGCAGCAGUACAUUCAGCCCAGUUCUUACAACAUCCCAUAGCCUCAAAGUUACAGAUGGGACAGUGGAUUACAAAGGAAACCCAGCUAAUAAAAAAGUCACAGAAACCUGGAAAGCCUGCCCUUUUAUCUUAGGGAAUGAAUGCUGUGACAGAUUGGCAUACUAUGGGAUGAGCUCAAAUCUGGUCAUUUAUUUCAAGCAACAUCUGCACCAAAGCAGUGCUAAAGCAGCUAAAAGCAACUCAAAUUGGAGUGGAACAUGUUAUCUCACUCCCUUACUUGGAGCAUUUUUGGCUGAUGCCUAUUUGGAAGAUAUAAGAUUUUGCCUCUUUCUCAAUCAUCUAUGUCAUUGAAGAGUACAUCGAGAACUAAGAGCAUGAGAAUUUCAAUUCGGUUUUCUCAUGUGGAAGGUUAUUGAUCAAACAAGGGGACUCCUAUAUUAUGUUAAAAAGAAUUGGUCAAAAGCUGUUUACACUCCUGAACUGAAAUAUUUAUGUAUCACUGGGAGGUUUUCCGAAGUAAGGAAAGAAAUAAGAGCAAAAGGAAGGAGAUAUGUGCAAUUGAUGGAGAAUUGUGGACUCUUGAUGAAUCAAGGAAGCUUAAGGCAAUAUGGAGAAAAAGAUAUUCAGCAAUUAAUUCUCUUGGCUACUCCUAUUGGAUAGAAGGAUGUCAAUGAAUCCUAAAUCAAUUAGAACAUUAAUCAAGGAGUUAGAGUCCCAAAAGGAAAGAUGGAAAGAGUUACAAACUGAAUAAAAUCUCUCCUUGGACGUUGAAGAAAGGGGGAUCUCACAUACGAAGAAGCCUAGAUGCACCAGAGCUCAAGAAGAAGCAAGACUGCAAAACCACACCAGAAACGAUCGAUCGUUGGAAUUUCCGAGAUCGAUCGCUGAUCCGUAUUUUCCAAUUUUCUGAUUCUUGUUGUCUUCUUCUUUCUCCAUGAACUCCUUUGUGUUUUUGAUUCCCAUUAUGUGUAACUAAAUUUCCAGUAGUUAGGGGGCAGUUGAAACCCCUAGACAUGA